UACAUUGAGCUGCUAUAAAGAGGUGGUC
rnacentral:piRNA from 1 species